rnacentral:misc_RNA from 1 species
AAAUAAUCUGUAUUUUUGGAUCUUUGUGUUGGUUUCUUGAUUGUUGAAGUUUCUAUUGCUAUGGGUAUUUGAUCUUUUCUUUGAGAUGAUAUUUUGCUUUUUAUAUUCUGUUUCUUAAAUUUUUCUGUUUGGCUACCGAGAAAACUGAUGGAAUUGAUGAUGAAAAAUGGAAAGAUGUAUUGUUGUAGUUCCAUGACUCAACUCGUGUAAGCUCAGUUCAUUGUAGGUAUUUUCAU